GAACAGACGAGGAGCUUGCUCCUCUGACGUUAGCGGCGGACGGGUGAGUAACACGUGGAUAACCUACCUAUAAGACUGGGAUAACUUCGGGAAACCGGAGCUAAUACCGGAUAAUAUAUUGAACCGCAUGGUUCAAUAGUGAAAGACGGUUUUGCUGUCACUUAUAGAUGGAUCCGCGCCGCAUUAGCUAGUUGGUAAGGUAACGGCUUACCAAGGCAACGAUGCGUAGCCGACCUGAGAGGGUGAUCGGCCACACUGGAACUGAGACACGGUCCAGACUCCUACGGGAGGCAGCAGUAGGGAAUCUUCCGCAAUGGGCGAAAGCCUGACGGAGCAACGCCGCGUGAGUGAUGAAGGUCUUCGGAUCGUAAAACUCUGUUAUUAGGGAAGAACAAAUGUGUAAGUAACUAUGCACGUCUUGACGGUACCUAAUCAGAAAGCCACGGCUAACUACGUGCCAGCAGCCGCGGUAAUACGUAGGUGGCAAGCGUUAUCCGGAAUUAUUGGGCGUAAAGCGCGCGUAGGCGGUUUUUUAAGUCUGAUGUGAAAGCCCACGGCUCAACCGUGGAGGGUCAUUGGAAACUGGAAAACUUGAGUGCAGAAGAGGAAAGUGGAAUUCCAUGUGUAGCGGUGAAAUGCGCAGAGAUAUGGAGGAACACCAGUGGCGAAGGCGACUUUCUGGUCUGUAACUGACGCUGAUGUGCGAAAGCGUGGGGAUCAAACAGGAUUA
rnacentral:rRNA from 1 species